rnacentral:rRNA from 1 species
GAUGAACGCUGGCGGCGUGCCUAAUACAUGCAAGUCGAGCGAACGGACGAGAAGCUUGCUUCUCUGAUGUUAGCGGCGGACGGGUGAGUAACACGUGGAUAACCUACCUAUAAGACUGGGAUAACUUCGGGAAACCGGAGCUAAUACCGGAUAAUAUUUUGAACCGCAUGGUUCAAAAGUGAAAGACGGUCUUGCUGUCACUUAUAGAUGGAUCCGCGCUGCAUUAGCUAGUUGGUAAGGUAACGGCUUACCAAGGCAACGAUGCAUAGCCGACCUGAGAGGGUGAUCGGCCACACUGGAACUGAGACACGGUCCAGACUCCUACGGGAGGCAGCAGUAGGGAAUCUUCCGCAAUGGGCGAAAGCCUGACGGAGCAACGCCGCGUGAGUGAUGAAGGUCUUCGGAUCGUAAAACUCUGUUAUUAGGGAAGAACAUAUGUGUAAGUAACUGUGCACAUC